rnacentral:lncRNA from 1 species
GCUUUUGUUUCAUAGAUUCUGGAGAUUGUGACUCAUUUAGGAAUUAAAAAUUGUCAUCCUUGUUUGUCAAUUGCUUAUGUCUUGAAUUUUUAGACCUUUUGUUUUAUGCAUUGUCUUUUGUUAAAAACAAUGAUAAAUCUAAGUUGAGAACGUGGGAAGAUUAUGCUGUUUCUCUGAUAGGACAUUCUACUUUUGAGCGCCAGGUCUUAUAUUACUGUUUUGUAUAUUCUGCGUUUGGACUUACUAGUUGCUAAAUUUAUUGGUGCUUCUUGCUUUAUUUGUUUUACUUGUUAGACAACAGCACUAAAGAAAAGUGAUGUUAGGGCAUCCCCUGGUGGACUUUGAUACUAACCAAAAUGUGAAUUUAUGAAAUGCUAUAAAAUGGGUCUUUUUAUGAAAUCUGGUUUUUAAGCAAUAUAUAUGCCUAGUAAUAGAACAUGAAACCCCAAACACCAGUUAAAAGACAAUAGGUUGCCAGCUGUUCUUAAGAGGUAGAGGACAGGUCACAAUGGCACAGUCUGGUACUGAUUCCUCUCUACAUUCUAGAGGGAAUACUGAGCCUGUUCUGCCUUAGUUUCUCUGCUAGUCUACUCUUUUGCUGAUGAGGAGGCAAUCUUAGCUCUUGAGAGUCCCCAUUCUUGCCUUUCCAGCCUGAAAGUGAUGACUCAUGAUCUUUGAAAACAAGACACUAAAGAGAUAUCAAAGCAUAUUAAGGAAGGAAUCCAUGGAAGAUCCACAACCCAACUGUGUGAUCUGUUGUUAUAUAAGAAAUAAACCUCAAUCUUGUCAAUUUAUG